GUGACAGAUUACUAAAUAAAGUGAUUGAGAUCAUGUCAAAGAGGUCGUAUAGCGCUGAGUAGGUGUAUGCCAUCCUUGCGUUAGAGUCUGACACGUCUAUGUCUGACUCCGACCCUGCCAGGUGAUCAGAUACAUCACUAGAUACAGUUAUGAUGUAUCUGUGACUGCUAGUCACCCUGCCAGAAGGACACAUGCUGCUCCAGCUGGCAGUAC